rnacentral:rRNA from 1 species
CCGAUGAGGUGGAAACGGACAGAGCUGGCGUAUCUGGCCUGUAUUCAGCCGCUCGUUGUCGGCCCACCGUUGCUGCACUCCAGAUUGGGAAGGCGGCGUGGGCGCUGGCUGCGUGUGGUGCAUUUGCAGGUGGAGUGCGCUGAGGCGCUCGGCUCAGCGGCAUGAGCUCAGCUUUGAGGCCAACCGUGCAAACGGUCUGGUACCCGGGCUGGGGGAGUGUUGUUUGGGCUGGGUGUUCGCUUGUGGCUGUGGUUUCGGGCCCGGGUGGGUGCCGAGCUGGCGGUCGGUGGCGGUCGCUUGCGACACGUGCCAGCAGUCAGUUCGGUCCUGCUCGAGCUCUCAUUGUGGCCCGGCCUCGGUGUAAAAGCCGGUCAUCUGUCCGACCCGUCUUGAAACACGGACCAAGGAGUUUAGCGUGUGCGCGAGUCAUUGGGCGUUGAAAACCCAAAGGCGCAAUGAAAGUGAAGGUCUGCCUUGUGCAGCUGAUGUGUGAUCCCGGGCGCUGCGGCGCACGGGCGCAACAUAGUCCCGUCCCGACUGCAUGCAGUGGGGCGGAGACAGAGCGUACGCGCUGAG